rnacentral:lncRNA from 1 species
UCAUCCUGUUGCCGUGUCCCUGAAGACCCCCCCCUCUCGCCCUCUCGCUCCCGAUAUUUCCACGUCCUAAACCCGUGCGUGGAAUCGCGCGUGAGACCGUGCGUGGAGGUAAGUAAAGCUGUAGUUGACAAAUAAAGUAAUUUUUAUCAUGUAACAUCAAGUUGUAACACAUGGAAUUUUAUACAACCUUGCAGAAGGAUUUUCUGGGAUUUCAUAUAUCAAACCGUGGAAUUUUUAAUUUAAUCAAUAGU